AAGGAUAGAUAAUUGGUUAAUAAAGGAGAGUGUUAUAUUAAUUAGAGUAAUGAGAAUAAUAUAUUGAUAGUAGGUCGCCUGAAAUUAUUAUUAUAGGUUAUAGGUUAAAAGUACUGUAGGGGAACUUUGUAUUUUAACAGAAAGAAAUAUUUGUACCUUUUGUAUCAGGGGCUUCCUAUUUAUUUAUAAAAGUUUAUUUAUUUUCGAAGGGAAAAGAGCUAAUGCUUAGAGUUAGUUACCGUGGUAGAGGUAUUAGAAAUUAAGGAUUAGGGGUGAGAUGCUAAUCGUCUUUCUAUAUCUAAUUUUUUCUGAAAUAAAUUUAAUUUAACGUCAAUUAUCAAUUAGAUUGAUUGAGAUUCUAAGGGGCAUGAGCUCAUUAGUUAGGUUAAUUUAAGGUUAGAUAAAUAAUAGUUUCACUGGAAUAAGCUUAAAAUUAGCUAUUUUUAAAGGGCGUUAUAGUUAAUGUGGUAUUAUAUAUAUAUAUUUAUGUGUUUGGAUGAAGGUAGGAAAAAGUAUGUUUUAAUAUAAAAGAUAUAGUUAGAAUGGUUGUAUUAGUAGAGCUUUAUUGUGUUUUAUGAAAUUAAAAUUUACUUAGAAUUAUAAUAUUGUUUUGUUGAAGUAAAUUAACUCGGCAAAUUAAACUUCCGGCUGUUUAUCAAAAACAUUUUUGUUAGUUUAUAUAAACAAUCUAGCCUGCCCACUGGCGGUAAGCUAAAGGGCCGCGGUAUUCUGACCGUGCGAAGGUAGCAUAAUCAAUAGUCUCUUAAUUGGAGGCUGGAAUGAAUGGCUGCACGAGAAGGAAGCUGUCUCUUCUUUAAAAAUUGAAUUUUACUUUUAAGUGAAAAGGCUUAAAUAAUUUGAAGGGACGAUAAGACCCUAUAAAACUUUACAAUUUAUUUUUGCUCCAUGAAUUUUUGUUUAAAUUGAGUGAGGGGUGUUAUUGUUAGGUUGGGGCGACUAUUAUAUAAUUUUUAUUAACUGUAAUUAAAAGAAAUAAGUUUAUUUAGAUAUUUGAUCCUUUAAUAAAGAUUAGAAGAUUAAGUUACUUUAGGGAUAACAGCGUAAUUUUUUCUGAGAGUUCUUAUCGAUGAAAUUAGUUGCGACCUCGAUGUUGAAUUAAAGUGUCUUUUAAGUGUAGCAGCUUAGUUAGUUGGUCUGUUCGACCAUUAAAACUUUACAUGAUUUGAGUUCAAACCGGUGUGAGCCAGGUUGGUUUCUAUCUUUCAGUUAAAAAAGCUCUUUUUAGUACGAAAGGAUUAAAAGAGCCAGAGUUUCUGUUUAAAGUUUGAUGAAUAAUAAUU
rnacentral:rRNA from 1 species